rnacentral:lncRNA from 10 species
AAAAGAGGUAUUCUCCUGCACACGCUCCCUCAUUUUUUGCCUGCUGCCAUCCAGUUAAGAUAUGACUUGCUCCUCCUUGCCUUCUGCCAUGAUGUGAGGCUUCCCUAGCCACAUGGAACUGAUGAAGAAUUGGCUGGAGGUAAAAAUCUCAUUGAAAAUCUUUGUCAGUGGGUGAAAUGUCCAGCUGUUAAGUGAAUUGGUAUGGUAUGGUGGCUAGUUCCAAAUGAAAUGGCUAAGCUUCACCCCUUUGAACACUCAACUUCUCAGGGAGUGAAAAUGCUGGAACUAGGAUUUGCAGAUCCAGAGACUAAAACGUGACUUUAAAUCAGACUGACUGCAUCUGCCCAUUUUGAUGGUGAAGACCCCGUGGGAAAGACUUUUUGAUAAAUGAACAGGCAUUAGUCUUAUGACAUUUCUCCAACAUCCUGCAGUCAUCUUGAUGGCCACACCUCACUUUUCUUUACUGUCUGCUACUCCUUUGCUUCACUAAAAGCAGAAAAGGUGAAUAAUUUUCAUUCCAAGGAACACCUCCGUAACCAAAUGUUUGGUGUUUUUCCUAUACACCAAGAAGGCAAUCAGUUCUCAGCAGAUUCUCCAGUGGACACGAGACAUCUCCUUUCUUCAACUGACCUCAUCUCUUGCUUGGACCACUGAAGCAGAAGCAGGCUUCUAGCAGCCUCUCUGUUGCCACCAUCUUUCCUUUCCAUCCAUUCUCCAAAAAGCAACCUAAGCGAUCAUCCCAAGGCCCACAAGGCCCUGUAUGAGCAACUUUUGCCUGCCUCUUCAACUACAAAGGUAUAAUUCCUGAAAUAUUAAAAAAAUUUACAGUGAG